GGGGUACCUGUGCCCACCCUCGAUUCACGUCCGAGCAGGACUGAUGCCUGGAGCCAGCGUAUGAGAGAGAAGUAUGGCCUUGAUACUUCGGAGUUCACCUACAACCCGUCCGAUCCAACAAGAUUUCAGCAAGCAGCAGCACCUGCUACUGAAGAGAGGGGUCGAUGUGCAAUACUCUGAAACCCCUGGCCAAAGUUUCUAGUACAUGUCACUGCGAGCUUAAAAUUCCUGAGUAUUUG
rnacentral:misc_RNA from 1 species